rnacentral:rRNA from 1 species
GGUGAAAAGCACCCCGGAAGGGGAGUGAAAUAGAACCUGAAACCGUGUGCUUACAAGUAGUCAGAGCCCGUUAAUGGGUGAUGGCGUGCCUUUUGUAGAAUGAACCGGCGAGUUACGAUUUGAUGCAAGGUUAAGCAGUAAAUGUGGAGCCGUAGCGAAAGCGAGUCUGAAUAGGGCGUUUAGUAUUUGGUCGUAGACCCGAAACCAGGUGAUCUACCCUUGGUCAGGUUGAAGUUCAGGUAACACUGAAUGGAGGACCGAACCGACUUACGUUGAAAAGUGAGCGGAUGAACUGAGGGUAGCGGAGAAAUUCCAAUCGAACCUGGAGAUAGCUGGUUCUCUCCGAAAUAGCUUUAGGGCUAGCCUCAAGUGAUGAUUAUUGGAGGUAGAGCACUGUUUGGACGAGGGGCCCCUCUCGGGUUACCGAAUUCAGACAAACUCCGA